CUACGGGCCGCUCCAGUGAGGAAUAUUGCACAAUGGGGGGAACCCUGAUGCAGCAACGCCGCGUGGAGGAUGACGCAUUUCGGUGUGUAAACUCCUUUUAUAUGUCAAGAAAAUGACGGUAGCAUAUGAAUAAGCGCCGGCUAACUCCGUGCCAGCAGCCGCGGUAAUACGGAGGGCGCAAGCGUUACUCGGAAUCACUGGGCGUAAAGGACGCGUAGGCGGGUUGAAAAGUCAGGUGUGAAAGCCUACAGCUUAACUGUAGAACUGCACUUGAAACUCUCAAUCUAGAGUAUGGGAGGGGCAGAUGGAAUUAGUGGUGUAGGGGUAAAAUCCGUAGAUAUCACUAGGAAUACCUAAAGCGAAGGCGAUCUGCUGGAACAUUACUGACGCUAAGGCGUGAAAGCGUGGGGAGCAAACAGGAUUAGAUACCCUAGUAGUC
rnacentral:rRNA from 1 species